rnacentral:rRNA from 1 species
AAUCAACGCUGGCGGCGUGCCUAACACAUGCAAGUCGAACGGGAAAGGUCCGCAAGGGCUGAGUAGAGUGGCGCACGGGUGAGUAACACGUGGACAACCUGCCUGGGAGUGGGGGAUAACACCUCGAAAGGGGUGCUAAUACCGCAUAACACUUUGGCUGGGAGGCUGAGGUUGAAAGGAGCGAUUCGCUUCUGGAGGGGUCCGCGCCUGAUUAGCUAGUUGGUGGGGUAACGGCUCACCAAGGCGACGAUCAGUAGCCGUCCUGAGAGGGAGCACGGCCACACUGGAACUGAGACACGGUCCAGACUCCUACGGGAGGCAGCAGUGGGGAAUUUUUGGCAAUGGGGGAAACCCUGACCAAGCAACGCCGCGUGGGUGAUGAAGUAUCUUGGUACGUAAAACCCUUUCGGCAGGGACGAACGCAAUGACGGUACCUGCGGAAGAAGCUCCGGCUAACUCCGUGCCAGCCGCCGCGGUAACAC